rnacentral:rRNA from 1 species
GACGAACGCUGGCGGCGUGCCUAAUACAUGCGAGUUGAGCGCUGAAGGUUGGUACUUGUACCAACUGGAUGAGCAGCGAACGGGUGAGUAACGCGUGGGGAAUCUGCCUUUGAGCGGGGGACAACAUUUGGAAACGAAUGCUAAUACCGCAUAAAAACUUUAAACACAAGUUUUAAGUUUGAAAGAUGCAAUUGCAUCACUCAAAGAUGAUCCCGCGUUGUAUUAGCUAGUUGGUGAGGUAAAGGCUCACCAAGGCGAUGAUACAUAGCCGACCUGAGAGGGUGAUCGGCCACAUUGGGACUGAGACACGGCCCAAACUCCUACGGGAGGCAGCAGGAGGGAAUCUUCGGCAAUGGACGAAAGUCUGAACGAGCAACGCCGCGGGAGUGAAGAAGGGUUUCGGAUCGUAAAACUCUGUUGGUAGAGAAGAACGUUGGUGAGAGUGGAAAGCUCAUCAAGUGACGGUAACUACCCAGAAAGGGACGGCUAACUACGUG